AAUAGAUACCCUGGUAGUCCACGCCGUAAACGAUGGGCACUAGGGUGUGGGAGGUGUCGACUCCUUCCGUGCCGAAGCUAACGCAUUAAGUGCCCCGCCUGGGGAGUACGGCCGCAAGGCUAAAAACUCAAAGGAAUUGACGGGGGCCCGCACAAGCAGCGGAGCAUGUGGUUUAAUUCGACGCAACGCGAAGAACCUUACCUGGGCUUGACAUGUUCCUGAUCGCCGUGGAAACACGGUUUCCCUUCGGGGCAGGAUCACAGGUGGUGCAUGGCUGUCGUCAGCUCGUGUCGUGAGAUGUUGGGUUAAGUCCCGCAACGAGCGCAACCCCCGUCGCAUGUUGCCAGCAUUUAGUUGGGGACUCAUGCGAGACUGCCGGUGACAAACCGGAGGAAGGUGGGGAUGACGUCAAGUCAUCAUGCCCCUUAUGUCCAGGGCUACACACGUGCUACAUUGGCCGGUACAAAGGGGCUGCGAUACCGUGAGGUGGAGCGAAUCCCACAAAAGCCGGUCCUGGUUCGGAUUGAAGGCUGAAACUCGU
rnacentral:rRNA from 1 species